UACGGGGGGGGGCAAGCGUUGUUCGGAAUUACUGGGCGUAAAGGGCUCGUAGGCGGCCAACUAAGUCAGACGUGAAAUCCCUAGGCUCAACCUAGGAACUGCGUCUGAUACUGGAUGGCUUGAAUCCGGGAGAGGGAUGCAGAAUUCCAGGUGUAGAGGUGAAAUUCGUAGAUAUUGGGAAGAACACCGGUGGCGAAGGCGGCCAACUGGACCACAACUGACGCUGAGGCGCGAAAGCGUGGGGAGCAAACAGG
rnacentral:rRNA from 1 species